UACGUAGGGGGCAAGCGUUGUCCGGAAUCAUUGGGCGUAAAGCGCGCGUAGGCGGCCCGGUAAGUCCGCUGUGAAAGUCCAGGGCUCAACCCUGGAAAGCCGGUGGAUACUGCCGGGCUAGAGUCCGGAAGAGGCGAGUGGAAUUCCUGGUGUAGCGGUGGAAUGCGCAGAUAUCAGGAGGAACACCUAUAGCGAAGGCAGCUCGCUGGGACGGUACUGACGCUGAGGCGCGAAAGCGUGGGGAGCGAACAGGA
rnacentral:rRNA from 1 species